GGAAGGAGCGGGCUCGCGCGGCCCGGCGUGGGCGCCGUCUGCGGUCGACGCUCAGGCGGAGGAGGAGGGCGCCGCCGCCGCCUGGCCUCUGCCGCGUGGGCGUCGCGCGGCUUCCCGCUCGCGAUGGAGGGAGCGGCUGUGGCCGUCUGCGAGAUUUUGAAAUAUUUAAUAAUUCACUGGACGUGUGAAGCAGGAGUUUCAAAGGGAACAUUGCUAGAAGGGCAGCUAAUGAUUUCCAUAGAAACAUUAAAUUCCAAGCCCCAGGCAAACACUCUUCGCUGUGUAACAACUAUUGCUCCUGCAGGGUGCCUUUAUAGUGGCUUCAUCCUCAAGAAAUUCAUAAAAGGUUUAAGGAUUACUCCCAAAAUGUCCUUACUCAAGUGAAGAAUAAACGAAAAUAAUGAGUUGGAGAAACAUUAUAGGUCCCUUUAUUUUGCUGUUUUUUUCUUAUUUCUGCCACUCAUUUUUUUAAUGUUUAAAAAUAUCUUAUGUUUGACAUAAUUUAAGUCUUUAGCAAAAUACUCUGUGGUCAAUCAUUCUCUUUUACUUCUAUUUAUUUGAGGAGAGAGAGAGUGAGCCCCCAUCCACUGUUUCACCCCCCAAAUGUCUGCAACAGCUGGGAGGGGCCAGACUUGAAGGCCAGGAGCUGAGAACUUAAUCCAGGUCUCCUAUGUGAGUGAUAGGAACUGAAUUACUUAAACUGUCACUGCUGCCUCCCAGGGUCAGCAUUCUAUAUGGAACAUGAGGUUUUUUAUUUGUUUGUUUGUUUGUUUUUAAGAUUUAUGUAUUUAUUUGAAAGGCAGAGCUAGAGAGGAGAGAUCGAGAUCUUCCAUUCACUGGUUCACUGCCCAGAUGGCCGCUGUGGCCAGAGCUCUAUCUGAAACCAGGAGCUCACUGCAGGUCUCCCGCAUUGGUGGUGGGGCCUAAGCAUUUGGGUCACUUUCUGCUGCCUUCCCAGGCACGUCAGCAGGGCUGCUGGAUUGGAAGUAAAGCAGUCGGGAUGCUAACCGGUGCCCAUAUGGGAUGCCACAGGAGGCAAUUUCACCCUCUGUGCCACAAAGCUGGCUCCAAACAUGAGGAUCUUAACUGAUUUCUUAACCACUAGGUUAAACAUCUGUCUCAAUGUUUACCAAAGAAAAUUUAGCCUUUUUUUCCUUCAAAAUGCUAGUCCUCGUAGGUGGGAAGCACUGCUUUGCUGCGGAUGUGAGUUGUGUAGCUGUGUGGUUCUGAGAGACUUUCUGCCUUCUGCCUGUGCUUCACCUUCUGGAUGUCAGGGAGGCUCCCGCCACCCCCAAGGUUAGUUUUGUUCUCUUUGUUAAUUUGCUGGAAAAGGAAGUGAGGAUUAGCGGUUUUCAUGGAUUGGAGAGUUGACAGGCCCAGGCCUGCUCAAUAUUGAGUGAGAAAUGCACCAGUGAACUCUUGAAUAUAUGACUUAAUCAAUUUUUUAAAAAAUCUGAUUAUAAUUUUAUAUAAGAUCAGGAGCUCUAAAGCUCAGAACUUAUCUAAUAUUUUUCCCCCAGGAGCUCAUUUUGUAGACAUGAUCUCAUUCAUUCUUGAGAGUUAGCAGAUGAAGUGUCAGCACCAUUGCUGUUUCAGGUGGCAAGAAGCAGGCUUAACUUCAGCCUCAUAUACUAAGUGUAGAAGUGGGGGAGAUUUUGUGGACUUAUCGGUCACUGCUUACCUAUUAAACCCUGUAAGACCACACUUAACUUCCCAAGCUUCUGAUACAUUCGAAACAGUCUUUUGCUGCUAAAUUUGCCUAACACUUGGUAGGUUUUAUACAAAUUGAGGAUCAAGAAAAGCUAAAAAAAAAGGGGGGGGUGUGCUAUCUUCUUUUUUCUCCAGUAUUUUUUUAGCUCUUUUCCCUGUUACAUUUGUUGAAGUGCACUUCACUAGCGAGCUCAUGUUCAAGAUUUGGUGUGACAGCGAAGGGGAUGGAAAAGGUAGACAUUGUUUAUACUCAGUUAUGGCAUAUUCUUUUUCCUUUUGAAGUUGGAUAGGCAAAAGAGGAAUGAAGUAACAGUUCUCAUUGUUAGAGAUGGCUUGUACCCUGGCUGAGUGGUAUGUAACUCCUAGUAUUUAGCAGUCAGUGGAAACUAGCCUGCAGGAACCUGUGUUGACUUAAAAUCCUUGAACUGUUGUUAAUACCUUGUUGAGUAAUCACCUGGGCACUUAACUGCUCCAGCUCUGGCCUUUUGGGUUAUCACAUACUUUUCAUCUUCUAAGCUGGGAACACAGGAGGAGGAGUUGGCUGCCUAAAGUAAUGAAUUUGGCUGAUACAGGAAGACAGAACACUGUGUUUUUCCUGAGUAGACUUUUUGUGUGUGUGCUGAUUUUUUUUUCAAGGAUUUAUUUAUUUAUUUGAAAGGCAGAGUGACAAGGAGGGAGAGAGAAUCUUGCAUGCACUGGUUCACUCCCCAGAUGGCCACAAUAGCCAGUUUUGGGCUAGGCCAAAGCUGUGAUCCAGUGACUCCAUCCUGGUCUCCCGCAUGAGGGGCAGGAGCCCAAGUCCUUGGGCCACCUUCUGUGCUGCCUUUCCAGGCACAUUAGUGGGAGUCUAGAUUGGAAGGAGAGCAGCUGGGACUUGGACUGACAGUCCAGUGUGGGAUGCAAGCAUUGCAAGUCAUGGCUUAACCCCCUGUGCCACAAUGCCAGCCUCUGUGCUGAAUUUUCAUGAAUAUUCCUUGAAUCUGUUCUCUUUUCUCCAUUUUUAUCACUGUCUUGGUUCAGAAUCUCAUCAUUCUUGCCUGCAGUAUUUUCCUGAUUGGAAGUUUACACCAGGUUUGGUAAGCAAGGUUGGUCACACACACUCGCCUGGACUGCACAGCUCCCUUUUUUAGUUGGCCUUAGCUUUGGUGAGUGCCCCUGACUUGGCUUGAGUGCAUUGGCUUGAGCCUGCCAAUGGGUACAGCUGGUCAGGCACACCUGUCUGAGCUAUACAGUUCCCUUCUCCGGUCUGCUCUGGCUUUGGUGAAUGCCCAGGACUCUGACUCCCCAGAAAUCUGAGCCCACUCUGACUUUGCUGAGUACAAGUGGCAGUUUACACAUGCUCUGAACUUGGCCUGGCACCGCCAUAGCCCCUACCACCACCAGUGAGAUCCACACACCCCUACUGGUACUGAGAGGAAUCCCCCAUGCCCCUAUUGCCAUUGCCAUGAUUAACAAUGGCAGAAGGAGCCAGUGUUGUGACAUAGUGGGUAAAACUGCUGCCUGGAUUGCUGGCAUCUCAUGUGGGCACCCGUCUGUGUCCCUGCUGUUCCAGUUCUGAUCCAGCCCCUUGCAAUAGCCUGGGAAAGGCAGUGGAAUAUGUCCCAAGUGUUUGAGCCCCUGAGACACACAUGGGAGACCCAGAUGAUGCUCCUGGCUUCAGCCUGGCCCAGCACUGGCAGCUGCACUGGGAAUGAACCAGUGGAUGGACAAUCUCUCCCUCUCUGUAACGUUGACUUUCAAAUAAAUAAAUUUUUAAAAAAAAGUUGCAGAAGACAUAGAGAAGCUACACCCAACCCUUCAACUGCAACUAGAGCCAUGAAAGCCACCUCUUAAAAGUGAUAGACAACUGAUCUGCCAGUUGUAUAAAUAUCAACACAAGCAGCAUGAAAGAGACAGUACGACAUCUCAAACCCAAUAACACUCUGACCACACAGAAAGAGAAAUUGAUGAAAUGACUGUAAAGAAGUAAAAAGAACAAUCCUGAGGAUACUCAAAGAUAUAUAAGAGAAUAUGUACAGUUAAGUGAAAUUAGGAAAGCAAUGCAUGAUAUGAAUGAGAAAUUCAACAGUGAUACGGAGAUCUUGGAAAAGAACCAAACAAAUCUUAGAAAUUAAGAAUCUAAGUCAAAAAGUACAAGCAAAAGAAAACAUCUGAAUUUCAAAGCUAGUCUUUUGAACUAUGUCCCCCAAAAAUGAAAGAUAGAAGUAGAAAAUGAAUGAAUGUAGCCUCCAAGAUCUUUGGGACAUUAGUGAAUGAGCUAAUACGUGAAAGAUGGAAAUUCCUGGGGAAGCAGAGGAGAACAGAGCAUGGAAGCCUAUUCAGUGAAGUAAUAGCUGAAUAAUUUUCCAGUUUGGUGAACAAUAUGGACAUUUAUGUACAGGAGAUCCAUGGAACCCCUAAUAGAUAGGAACAGAAAAGAUCCUCACCAUGACGCAUGAUGGUCAAACUCUCAAAAAUACAGCGCAAAGAGGGAAUUCUAAAAUCUGCAAGAUAAAAAUGCCAGAUCACUUUUAAGGAGACCUUCAUUAGAAUAAUAGGUUUUCCAUUAAAAACCUUGGCGGGGGUCACCAGCUUCGUGGCACAACAGGUUAAAGCCCCAGCCUGCAGCACUAGCAUCCCAUAUGGGUGCCGGUUCAUGUCCCAGCUGCUCCACUUCCAAUCCAGCUCUCUGCUGUGGCCUGGGAAAGCAGCAGAGGAUGGCUCAACCCUUUUGGUCCCUUCUUCCAUAUGAGAGACCCGGAAGAAGCUCCCAGCUCCUAGCUUUAGAUCAGCUCAGCUCUGGCCGUUGCAGCCAUUGGGGAGUAAACUAGCAGAUGGAAGACCUCUCUCUUUUGCUCUCGCUCUCUGUGCAUCUCUACCUCUUUCUCUAACUCUUUCAAAUAAAUAAAACAAAUCUUUAAAUAAAAAUGUAUAUGCACCUGGGGUCCGCAUUGUGGUGUGCCAAUGCUGGCAUCUCAUAUGGCUCUGGCUUGAGUCUUGGCUGCUCCACUUCCAAUACAGCUCCCUGCAAAUGGCCUGGGAAAAGCAGCAGAAGAUAGCCCAAGUGCUUGGGCCCCUGCCACCCACUUGGAGGACCCAGAAGAAGCUCCUGGCUUUGGCCUGGCCCAGUUCUGGCCAUUGCAGCCAUAUGGAGAGUGAACCAGUGGAUGGAAGAUCUCUCUCUGUCUUUCUCUAUAACUCUGACUUGCAAAUAAAUAUUUUUUUUUAAAAAGUAUAUGCAGCUAAUGCCAGAGCACCCAAUUUUAUAAAAUAAACAGUACUAUAUCUUAAAGGAGAGAUAAGCUUUAGUACAACAAUCGGGAGUUCAACAUCCCAACUGCAUCAGUGGACAGAUCAUCCAGACCAAAAAAAAAUAAUAAUAAAUAAAAAAUAUUGGAGUUAAACCACACUAUAGCACAAAUGGAACUAAGACAUUUAUAGAACAUUCCAUUCAAUAGCUACAACAUACAUAUUCUUUUCUAGGAUAGACUGUAAAUUGGGCCACAAAACAAGUCUCAAUACAUUGUAAAACAUGGAAAGAAUAUCAUGUAUCUUUUUUUGGCCCCAGUGGAACAAAACUAGAAAUCAACAAAAGAAUCUCUAGCAUUCACACAAAAGGCAGGGGCUGUGGUGUAGUGGGUAAAGGUGCUACCUACAGUGCCGGCAUCCCAUAUGGGUGCCGGUUCAAGUCCUAGCUGUUCCACUUCCAGUCUAGCUCUUGCUAUGGCCUGGGAAAGCAGUGGAAGAUGGCCCAAGUCCUUGGGCCCCUGCACCUGCUUGGAAAACCUGAAAGAAGCUCCUGGCUCCUGGCUUCGGAUUGUCUCAGCUCCGGGCAUUGCGGACAUUUGGGGAGUGAACCAGCGGAUGGAAGGCCUCUUUCUCUCUACUUCUGCCUCUCUGCAACUCUGCCUUUCAAGUAAUAAAUAAAUACAUAUUUUUAAAAAAUUACACAAAUAUGAACAGACUGAACAAUAUCCUCCCGAACGAACAAUGGGUCAUUGAAGAAAUCAAAAGGGAAAUUUAAAAAUUACUGAAACAGGGACAAGUGUUUGGUCUUAGUAGUUAAAACACCAGUCUGCAUCCCAUGUUGGAAUACCUGGCUUGGUUUUUUUUUGUUUUGUUUUGUUUUGUUUUGUUUUGUUUUGUUUUUAGGAUUUAUUUUAUAUAUUUGACAGAGUACAGAGAGAGGUACACACGCACACACACACACACACAGAGGUCUUCUAUCUGCUGAUUCACUCCCCAGAUGGCUGCAACGGCUGGAGCUGCACCAGUCCGAAGCCAGGAGCUUCUUCUGGGUCUCCCACAUGGGUGCAGGGACCCAAACAUUUGGGCAAUCUUCCACUGCUUUCCCAGGCCGUAGCAGAGCGCUGGAUGGGAAGUGGAGUAGCUGGCGCCCAUAAGGGAUGCCGGUACUGUAGGCAGCAGCUUUAACUGGCUGCAUCGCAGCGCUGGCCCCUGAAGACCUGGUUUUAAUUCCUAGCUCCAGCUCCUGAGUCUAGCUUUCUGCUAAUGUGGUCCCUUCCCACACUGGUGAUGGCGCAGGCAGUGGGAUUCCUGCCACUCGUGUGGGAGACCUGGAUUGAGUUCCUGACUCUCAGGUUUGGCUGUAGCCCAGGGAUGUUGUAGGCAUUUGGGGAGUGAACCAGUGCGUGGGAGCACCCUCUUCCUGUCUGUCCCUCUCUCAAAUAAUAAAUAAACUUAAAACUUCCUUGAAGCAAACAAAAAGGUAAACAACAUGCCUAAACUCAUGGGAUAUAGCAAAGCAGUACUAGGAAGUUUGUAGCAAUAAGCACCUAUAUAAAAAAACAGAGAGGUGGGCCUUUUGGCACAGCAGGUUAGCCUGCGCUUGGGAAACCCCCAUUCCAUAUCACACUCCCUGUCCAAAUCCCGACUUCUGAUCCAGCUUGCUGCUGAUGCCAUCCUGGGAGGUAGCAGGUGAUAACACAAGUACUUGGGUCCCCGCUACCCAUGUGAAAAACCUGGAUAGAGUUCCAGGUUCCUGGCUUUAGCCUGGUCAGAUAAUGUGGGAGACCAGGAUGCAGAUUCUGACUCCUGGCUUUGGCCUGGCCAGGACCUAGUUGUUGAGGCCAUUUGGGAAGUGAACCAGCAGAUGGAAGAUUUUUUUUCUCUCUCUCUUGCUCUUCUGUCUUUAAAAUAUAGAAAAUGAACCAUAAAAAAAGAUAAAUGGUCAAAGAUCUGAAUGGAUGUUUCUCAAAAGAAGAAUACAAAUGACCAACAAAUACAUGAAAAAAUGCUCAUUAUCACUAUCCAUUAGGGAAAUGCAAAUUAAAACCACAGUGAAAUAUCUCACUCCAGUUCGAAUGGCUAUUAUCAAAGACAGUAACAAAUACUGGUGAAGAUGUGGAGGAAAGGGAACCCUGAACACUGUUGGUGGGAAUGAGCACAGCCCUUCUGGGGAACAGUAUGGCAGUUCCUCAAAAAACUUAAAAUAGAUCUACCAUAUGGUAUCCCACUUCUGGGUGUAUGUUCGAAGGAAAUGAAAUCAGCAUAUGAAAGACGCCUGCUCCCCCAUGUUCACUGCAGCACUGUGCACAGUAAAGAUACGGAAUUAACCUAGCUGUCUAUUAAUGGAUAAGUGGAUAAAGAGAGUGUGGUUUAUGUACAGUGGGGUGUUAUUCAGCCGUAAAAAAUAAAAUUCUGUUAUUUUCAGCAAGAUGAGUGGAACUAUAGAUCAUUAUGGUAAAUGAUAUCAGAUACAGAAAAAUGAAUACCACAUGUUCUCUCUCAUCUGUGGAAAUUAAAAAAAAAAAACAGAUCUGAACUUAGAAGAAUGACUGUUGGAUACUGGGAAGGGGAGGGGGCUUGAGAGAGUUUGGAUAGGAGGUAUGAAAAACAAGUGGGGCCAGUGCUCUGGCAUAGCGGGUAAGGCCAACGCCUGCAGUGCUGGCAUCCCAUAUGGGCACCAGUUUGAGCCCCAGCUGCUCCACU